GAUGAACGCUGGCGGCGUGCCUAAUACAUGCAAGUCGAGCGAACAGACGAGGAGCUUGCUCCUCUGACGUUAGCGGCGGACGGGUGAGUAACACGUGGAUAACCUACCUAUAAGACUGGGAUAACUUCGGGAAACCGGAGCUAAUACCGGAUAAUAUAUUGAACCGCAUGGUUCAAUAGUGAAAGACGGUUUUGCUGUCACUUAUAGAUGGAUCCGCGCCGCAUUAGCUAGUUGGUAAGGUAACGGCUUACCAAGGCAACGAUGCGUAGCCGACCUGAGAGGGUGAUAGGCCACACUGGAACUGAGACACGGUCCAGACUCCUACGGGAGGCAGCAGUAGGGAAUCUGACGCAAUGGGCGAAAGCCUGACGGAGCAACGCCGCGUGAGUGAUGAAGGUCUUCGGAUCGUAAAACUCUGUUAUUAGGGAAGAACAAAUGUGUAAGUAAAUAUGCACGUAUUGACGGUACCUAAUCAGAAAGCCACGGCUAACUACGUG
rnacentral:rRNA from 1 species